rnacentral:rRNA from 1 species
GCUGGCGGCGCGCCUAACACAUGCAAGUCGAACGAGAAAGCGGGAGCAAUCUCGCAAGUAAAGUGGCGUACGGGUGAGUAACACGUGGAUGAUCUGCCCUGGAGUGGGGAAUAACGCUGGGAAACCGGCGCUAAUACCGCAUAUUCCCGAGAGGGGAAAGCAGCAAUGCGCUCGAGGAGGAGUCCGCGGCCGAUUAGCUAGUUGGCAGGGUAAAAGCCUACCAAGGCUAUGAUCGGUAGCCGGCCUGAGAGGGCACACGGCCACACUGGCACUGAAACACGGGCCAGACUCCUACGGGAGGCAGCAGUGGGGAAUCUUGCACAAUGGGGGAAACCCUGAUGCAGCGACGCCGCGUGAGCGAUGAAGCCCUUCGGGGUGUAAAGCUCUUUCGGCAGGGAAGAUUAUGACGGUACCUGCAGAAGCAGCUGCGGCUAACUACGUGCCAGCAGCCGCGGUAAUACGUAGGCAGCAAGCGUUGUUCGGAGUUACUGGGCGUAAAGGGUGUGUAGGCGGCCUGUUAAGUUCCGUGUGAAAUCUCCCGGCUCAACCGGGAGGGCGCGCGGAAUACUGACGGGCUAGAGUGCGGGAUGGGAGAGUAGAAUUCCUGGUGUAGCGGUGAAAUGCGUAGAUAUCAGGAGGAAUACCGGUGGUGUAGACGGCUCUCUGGACCGCAACUGACGCUGAGACACGAAAGCGUGGGUAGCAAACAGGAUUAGAUACCCUGGUAGUCCACGCCCUAAACGAUGCAUAUUUGGUGUAGGUCAUUCAGUUGAUCUGUGCCGGAGCUAACGCGUUAAAUAUGCCGCCUGGGGAGUACAGUCGCAAGGCUGAAACUCAAAGGAAUUGACGGGGGCCCGCACAAGCGGGGGAGCAUGUGGUUCAAUUCGACGCAACGCGAAGAACCUUACCUGGGCUCGAACGGCAGGUCAACGAUCGUGGAAACACGGUUACUCCGCAAGGGGGUCCAGUCGAGGUGCUGCAUGGCUGUCGUCAGCUCGUGUCGUGAGAUGNUGGGNUUAGUCCCGCAACGAGCGCAACCCUUGGUCUGGGGUUGCCAUCAUUCAGUUGGNGAACUCGCAGGAGAACGNCAGCGAUUAGCUGAAGGAAGGUGGGAUGACGUCAAGUCCUCAUGGCCUUUAUGUCCAGGGCUACACACGUGCUACAAUGGNCGGUANCAUGCGCUGCUAAGUCGCCAGACGGAGCCAAUCGCA